UGGGGAAUUUUGGACAAUGGGGGAAACCCUGAUCCAGCCAUCCCGCGUGUGCGAUGAAGGCCUUCGGGUUGUAAAGCACUUUUGGCAGGAAAGAAACGUCGCGGGUUAAUACCCCGCGAAACUGACGGUACCUGCAGAAUAAGCACCGGCUAACUACGUGCCAGCAGCCGCGGUAAUACGUAGGGUGCAAGCGUUAAUCGGAAUUACUGGGCGUAAAGCGUGCGCAGGCGGUUCGGAAAGAAAGAUGUGAAAUCCCAGAGCUUAACUUUGGAACUGCAUUUUUAACUACCGGGCUAGAGUGUGUCAGAGGGAGGUGGAAUUCCGCGUGUAGCAGUGAAAUGCGUAGAUAUGCGGAGGAACACCGAUGGCGAAGGCAGCCUCCUGGGAUAACACUGACGCUCAUGCACGAAAGCGUGGGGAGCAAACAGGAUUAGAUACCCUGGUAGUCCACGCCCUAAACGAUGUCAACUAGCUGUUGGGGCCUUCGGGCCUUGGUAGCGCAGCUAACGCGUGAAGUUGACCGCCUGGGGAGUACGGUCGCAAGAUUAAAAACUCAAAGGAAUUGACGGGGUCAUAGCUGUUUCCU
rnacentral:rRNA from 1 species